GAUGAACGCUGGCGGCGUGCCUAAUACAUGCAAGUCGAGCGAACGGACGAGAAGCUUGCUUCUCUGAUGUUAGCGGCGGACGGGUGAGUAACACGUGGAUAACCUACCUAUAAGACUGGGAUAACUUCGGGAAACCGGAGCUAAUACCGGAUAAUAUUUUGAACCGCAUGGUUCAAAAGUGAAAGACGGUCUUGCUGUCACUUAUAGAUGGAUCCGCGCUGCAUUAGCUAGUUGGUAAGGUAACGGCUUACCAAGGCAACGAUGCAUAGCCGACCUGAGAGGGUGAUCGGCCACACUGGAACUGAGACACGGUCCAGACUCCUACGGGAGGCAGCAGUAGGGAAUCUUCCGCAAAGGGCGAAAGCCUGACGGAGCAACGCCGCGUGAGUGAUGAAGGUCUUCGGAUCGUAAAACUCUGUUAUUAGGCAAGAACAUAUGUGUAAGUAACUGUGCACAUCUUGACGGUACCUAAUCAGAAAGCCACGGCUAACUACGUG
rnacentral:rRNA from 1 species